rnacentral:rRNA from 1 species
UACGGAGGGGGUUAGCGUUGUUCGGAAUUACUGGGCGUAAAGCGCACGUAGGCGGAUUAGCCAGUCAGAGGUGAAAUCCCAGGGCUCAACCCUGGAACUGCCUUUGAUACUGCUAGUCUGGAGUUCGAGAGAGGUGAGUGGAAUUCCGAGUGUAGAGGUGAAAUUCGUAGAUAUUCGGAGGAACACCAGUGGCGAAGGCGGCUCACUGGCUCGAUACUGACGCUGAGGUGCGAAAGCGUGGGGAGCAAACAGG